UAACUCAACGGUUUUGAAAGUUCUUGGGGCUCUCGAGAAACGAGCCUCAAAGUAUUAGCUUUGUCUGGAGCAUUUCCUCUUAUCUUUGUAACUACACUAAAAUAAA